rnacentral:piRNA from 1 species
UUCACUCUGUUUUCAAUGCAUCCCAGAC